AACAAACGCUGGCGGCGUGCCUAACACAUGCAAGUCGUACGAGAAAGUCCGCUUCGGUGGAUGAGUAAAGUGGCGCACGGGUGAGUAACGCGUGGAUAAUCUACCCUUUAGUCCGGAAUAACUUAUCGAAAGGUGAACUAAUACCGGAUGAUAUCCCGGUUUCCUCGGAGACUGGGAUCAAAGAAGGCCUCUGCUUGCAAGCUUUUGCUGAAGGAUGAGUCCGCGUACCAUUAGCUAGUUGGUAGGGUAAUGGCCUACCAAGGUUAUGAUGGUUAGCUGGUCUGAGAGGAUGAUCAGCCACACUGGAACUGAGACACGGUCCAGACUCCUACGGGAGGCAGCAGUGAGGAAUAUUGCGCAAUGGGGGCAACCCUGACGCAGCAACGCCGCGUGAGUGAGGAAGGUUUUCGGAUUGUAAAGCUCUGUCGAGCGGAAAGAAAUGCAUUAUGGCUAAUAUCCAUAGUGCUUGACGGUACCGCUAGAGGAAGCACCGGCUAACUCCGUG
rnacentral:rRNA from 1 species